GUGGCUAUAGCUCAAUUGGUCAGAGCAUUAGACUGUGGCUCUAAGGGUUGCGGGUUCGAGCCCCGUUAGCCACC
rnacentral:tRNA from 1 species